ACAGAGGGUGCGAGCGUUAAUCGGAAUUACUGGGCGUAAAGCGUGCGUAGACGGUUAUUUAAGUCGGAUGUGAAAGCCCCGGGCUUAACCUGGGAAUUGCAUCUGAUACUGUCUGACUAGAGUAUGCUAGAGGGAAGUGGAAUUCCAGGUGUAGCGGUGAAAUGCGUAGAUAUCUGGAGGAACACCAAUGGCGAAGGCAACUUCCUGGGGCAAUACUGACACUGAUGUGCGAAAGCGUGGGGAGCAAACAGGA
rnacentral:rRNA from 1 species